rnacentral:lncRNA from 1 species
ACAGCCUCAAGCCGCGUGGAUUCCUUCCAGACGGCCGGAGCCCCUCCCCCGCCUUUCCUACCCGGCCCCGGCGCCGGGCUUCCCCCCGCCUUAGGAAGCUCGCCCUUCCAGCCAGCGGCCCCGACUGUACUGGCUCCGCGGCAGCCUUGGCUCAGGCGGCCAGCGCUGGACAGCGGCCGGGGAAUCCCGUGCUGCGCGGCGCGGCCGAGGGGCGGGCCUGGCCCGGAGAGUACCGCGGCUUCGGCCCUCUGCCGUGCGCCUCGCGCGUUUUGCAUCGCUGAGCGAAGCAGAGACGUAAGGAAAUGGUAGCAGAGCGCGGGGCGAGGGCAGAGGGGAGUCAUUUCCCCCAGAGUUUGGGCUGGUUGGGUCCUCGGCACCUCCGGACGUGCGCCAGGCUUCCACCCUGAAGACGCGCCCGUCCUGGGAACAUGACCUCGGAAGCAGUCGCAGCCGCCGCCGGACGAGGGGCGUGGAGAGGCGGUGCCCCGGCAGCCCAGGGAUGGCGCAGGCCCUGGGGCCCCAGGAAGACGGCGCCGUUGGCGUCUUGAGUCUUGCUGCCGCCUCUGGCUGCCUAGCCCUCUUGCUUUCGCUCUUCUUGUUUGCUCUGGCCCCCAUUUUUCCGAGAGUGUACGCCAGGCCCGGGCCCUGCUCCUGGACUGAUUUACCUGGGGCGGCACCGCCCGCAGCCAUGACUCCCGGGCUCUGAGUUUAGCGGCGCCCUAAGCGCCGGAACCGCAUCUCGGCGCCGGUGACAGUUAUUGCGCCCGGGGCCGCUCCCCAAGCUGUGGGCAAGACACCGCGCCCGAUUUCCUUUCAGCACCGAGUGUCAGACGUUGUAGUGUUUAUUCGACCGGAGGCAGGGAGGGCGCUACUAUCCUAUCACAGGUUUGGGAUAACCCAACAGAAACGCAGUGGGAACCCCUUGGCUAGGAGUCGAACAAGGAUCCCGGGUCGUGGUAGUAUAGUUUACAGUGGGGGAUAAAGCAGUAACUUUCUAGAUAGUUGUUAAUAAUUUUUUCUGAGCUGCAAGUAUCUCCUUAUUUCUCACAAAAAUCUGCGAGCUGAAUUGAAUGGUUUUGAAUUUUCAAAAUUAAAAAAGCUGUGGGGCA